rnacentral:rRNA from 1 species
UACGUAGGUGGCAAGCGUUGUCCGGAUUUACUGGGCGUAAAGGGCGCGUAGGCGGCCUUUUAAGUCGAACGUGAAAUCCCUGGGCUCAACCCAGGAACUGCGUCCGAUACUGGAAGGCUUGAAUCCGGGAGAGGGAUGCGGAAUUCCAGGUGUAGCGGUGAAAUGCGUAGAUAUCUGGAGGAACACCGGUGGCGAAGGCGGCAUCCUGGACCGGUAUUGACGCUGAGGCGCGAAAGCCAGGGGAGCAAACGGG